AGUGUAGGGGCGGCAGGUAGCCUAGUGGUUAGAGUGUAGGGGCGGUAGGUAGCCUAGUGGUUAGAGUGUAGGGGCGGCAGGUAGCCUAGUGGUUAGAGUGUAGGGGCGGCAGGUAGCCUAGUGGUUAGAGUGUAGGGGCGGCAGGUAGCCUAGUGGUUAGAGUGUAGGGGCGGCAGGUAGCCUAGUGGUUAGAGUGUAGGGGCGGUAGGUAGCCUAGUGGUUAGAGUGUAGGGGCGGCAGGUAGCCUAGUGGUUAGAGUGUAGGGGCGGCAGGUAGCCUAGUGGUUAGAGUGUAGGGGCGGCAGGUAGCCA